AUCCAGACCCAAGGAAGAAGGUUGCUGGCUGCCUGCCCUCAGACCCCACAGUAACUGUCCUCGUGGUUGGAGGUCCCUAAGGCUGCAGUGUAAGAAAGAGAGAAACCUUUAAGCAGAGUUUCCCAGUCUGUGGAUGGCAACCUGGCAGGGUCCGAACAACCCUUUCACAGGAGUCAGUGUCACCUGCCAUGAGGUAAUGUAGUCAAGGGACAGCCUUGCCCUGAACUGCUUGGACUUGACUUCAAAACUGAGGUAGAAGCUAUGGCUGGAUCCAGACCUGGUCUAUGUGCUCAGUAAGCUCCAUCAGAGUGCCAGUCCAACGGCCUGCACCAAUGGAGAAGGACUCCAAGCAGAGAGGAAAGGUGGAAAUAAGAGUCCUGGGCUGAGCUCAGUCCCCCGCCUGCAGGGAGAACCUACUGAGAGCAUUACCAUCUUCUCGUCUCCCUGCCAUAAGCAACCAUCAGGGACUAACUGCUCCAGCAUCUGAGGUCCUGAAUACCCAAGAGAUCCUCAGGCAGCUAGCAGGAAGAGCCCUGAACACCAUGCUGUCUGCCAGCCACCAGAGGUUGGCAAUUCCACUAUUUAGAAGCAAGCUGUAACCCCCUGCCUGAGUCCAGACCCACCUGCUUCCUGUCUCCUGGGGAUGACUAAACAGCUCUUGGUACCUGAUGGAGAACUAAGGAACCAACAUGGGGGGGGAAGGGGGAUAUGAAUUGCCUUCCUGGAUCCUUGGGGCAAUUAAAGUGCUCUUGCCCCAGACUCCCUUUAUAUACUGAA